rnacentral:rRNA from 1 species
GUGGCGUUCGUGCGUAGAUUGUGUGGUUGAGCGCAGAAACCAGAUGACCCCUUCGGGGUGAUUCUGGCGGAAUGAGCGGCGGACGGGUGAGUAACACGUGGGCAACCUGCCUGUAAGACUGGGAUAACUUCGGGAAACCGGAGCUAAUACCGGAUAGUAUUUCCUUCUCUCCUGAUUGGAAAUGGAAAGACGGUUUCGGCUGUCACUUACAGAUGGGCCCGCGGUGCAUUAGCUAGUUGGUGGGGUAAUGGCCCACCAAGGCGACGAUGCAUAGCCGACCUGAGAGGGUGAUCGGCCACACUGGGACUGAGACACGGCCCAGACUCCUACGGGAGGCAGCAGUAGGGAAUCUUCCCGCAAUGGACGAAAGUCUGACGGAGCAACGCCGCGUGAGCGAUGAAGGCCUUUCGGGUCGUAAAGCUCUGUUAGUUAGGGAAGAACAAGUACGAGAGUAACUGCUCGUACCUUUGACGGUACCUAACCAGAAAGCCCCGGCUAACUACGUGCCAGCAGCCGCGGUAAUACGUAGGGGGCAAGCGUUGUCCGGAAUUAUUGGGCGUAAAGGGCUCGUAGGCGGUUUCUUAAGUCUGAUGUGAAAGCCCACAGCUCACUGUGGAGGGUCAUUGGAAACUGGGGAACUUGAGUGCAGAAGAGGAGAGUGGAU